rnacentral:rRNA from 1 species
UACGUAGGGUGCGAGCGUUUGUCCGGAAUUAUUGGGCGUAAAGAGCUCGUAGGCGGUCUGUCGCGUCGAUCGUGAAAACUUGGGGCUUAACCCUGAGCUUGCGGUCGAUACGGGCAUGACUGGAGUUCGGCAGGGGAGACUGGAAUUCCUGGUGUAGCGGUGAAAUGCGCAGAUAUCAGGAGGAACACCUACGGCGAAGGCAGCUCGCUGGGACGGUACUGACGCUGAGGUGCGAAAGCGUGGGGAGCAAACAGG